UACGUAGGGACGAGCGUUGCCCGGAAUUACUGGGCGUAAAGGGCGCGCAGGCUGUAGAUCAAGUCAGCUGUGAAAUGUCUGGGCUUAACCCGGGCAUGCGGUUGAAACUGAUGUACUGGAGUGCUGUAGAGGCAAGUGGAAUUCCAGUGUAGCGGUGAAAUGCGUAGAUAUUGGGAAGAACACCGGUGGCGAAGGCGACUUGCUGGGCAGCAACUGACGCUGAGGCGCGAAAGCCAGGGGAGCAAACGGGAUUAGAUA
rnacentral:rRNA from 1 species